AUACGGAGGGUGCAGGCGUUACUCGGAAUCACUGGGCGUAAAGGAUGCGUAGGCGGAUAAUCAAGUCAAAAGUGAAAUCCCACGGCUUAACCGUGGAACUGCUUUCGAAACUGGUUAUCUAGAAUAUGGAAGAGGCAGAUGGAAUUAGUGGUGUAGGGGUAAAAUCCGUAGAGAUCACUAGGAAUACCGAUUGCGAAGGCGAUCUGCUGGGACAUUAUUGACGCUGAGGCAUGAAAGCGUGGGGAGCAAACAGGAGUAGAAACCCUAGUAGUCC
rnacentral:rRNA from 1 species